rnacentral:rRNA from 1 species
AACGUAGGUGGCAAGCGUUAUCCGGAAUUACUGGGCGUAAAGGGUGUGCAGGCGGGGUGGCAAGUGGUGUAUGAAAUCUCCCAGCUUAACUGGGAUAGGUUAUGCCAGACUGCUACUCUAGAGGACGAGAGAGGGGCGUGGAAUUCCGGGUGUAGUGGUGAAAUGCGUAGAGAUCCGGAGGAACACCAGUGGCGAAGGCGGCCCCCUGGGCCGCGCCUGACGCUGAGACGCGAAAGCGCGGGGAGCGAACGGG